rnacentral:rRNA from 1 species
GACGAACGCUGGCGGCGUGCCUAAUACAUGCAAGUCGAACGAGUGGCGGACGGGUGAGUAAUGACUGGGAAACUGCCUGAUGGAGGGGGAUAAAUACUGGAAACGGUAGCUAAUAACGCAUACCAUCAGAUGUGCCCAGAUGGGAUUAGCUAGUUGGUGGGGUAACGGCGCACCAAGGCGACGAUCCCUAGCUGGUCUGAGAGGAUGACCAGCCACACUGGAACUGAUACACGGUCCAGCCUCCUACGGGAGGCAGCAGUGGGGAAUAUUGCACAAUGGGCGCAAGCCUGAUGCAGCCAUGCCGCGUGUAUGAAGAAGGCCUUCGGGUUGUAAAGUACUUUCAGCGGGGAGGCGUUACCCGCAGAAGAAGCACCGGCUAACUCCGUGCCAGCAGCCGCGGUAAUUC